rnacentral:sRNA from 12 species
GAGCGGAGGGCGCAUAUGAACGAAGUUCAUAUUCAGGAUGCGCCCGACAACCUGCCGCCGAACAACGUGAGGGGGCAAUACCCAUG